GCCUCGAUAGCUCAGUCGGUAGAGCGUUAGACUGAAGAUCUAAAGGUCCCUGGUUCAAUCCC
rnacentral:tRNA from 1 species